AUUGCACUAUGCCAGACAGAAUGGAACAGCACCACUUAUCUUAUGAAGAAUAAAAAUGCCCUUAUUGCAAACUUUUUAAGGCAUUGCAGCAAUGUUUCAGGCCACGUUUGACCCUUGCACUAUGCAGCAUACAUUAACAUUUUCCUUUCUGAGCACAAAAUAAUUCUGUUUUAUUGUUCUCUUUUUGGCUUUGCACACUGAAUCCAUCACAGAACUGACCCAUGUUACAACACCUAUUCCUCAAGCCAGUGGAAAGUCUAGGACAAAUAAUGGGAGGGAUCUCCGUAUUUGACAGAAAGGAUCUCCCAGGAGAUGAAAACCAAGUAUUUCUGGGACCAGCAGUGACACACGUCAGACAAAAGCUCUGCUUUUCUAUAAAUGAAGGAGAAGUCUGCGCAUUUGCUGAGUUACCAACUAGUUCAUCACUGCUUGCAUCCAGCAGCACAUCUUGUGUGCACAUCCAUUGUAUAUCUGACUGCAGUGAGCACACUGGAAAACCCAUUUUGUAGGAGAGAUUUCUGCAUUCUUUCAUCGUAAGGUUUUCUUGAAAGAUUGCAGAGCUGCGAAAUUAAAAUGACACGCAAGAUUUUCACUAACACCAGAGAAAGAUGGAGGCAGCAGAAUGUUAACAGUGCAUUUGCUGAGCUAAGGAAGCUCAUCCCAACCCACCCACCAGACAAGAAACUGAGCAAGAAUGAAACGCUGAGACUGGCCAUGAAAUACAUCAACUUCCUCAUUGAUAUCCUCGGAGAUCAAGAAAUAAGGAAAACCGGAGGAAGCUCUCGGGGAAGUAUUUUGGGUCUCUUUGAGUCGGAACACUCAAGUAUGGGAGACUGGACUGAUAUGGGUCACAGCAAUGACUCUUCCCCAGGGAUGAGCAGUGACACACAGGACUGCUGGUCAUUGGACCCCUCACCAUAAUAAUGAGAGAAUGGGAAUAGUAUCCAAUGUCUAAGUGUAUGUGCGUUAAACUAUUGUGCUGAAUUAGGUCUGUAAUGGAGAUAUCUUGAUAUUGUUUUCUCAUUUAUAAAGACAUGGGCCGUUAUAAGGCAAUAAUGUCUGCCAUACCAGAAGUGAGAGGGUUGUCUUAUCAGCAUGCUUAAAAUGUAACGUUGAUACUGAUCAAGUACUUAUUAUGGUUCCAAUGUCAGACGCUAAAUGCCAUAUCACAGGGUUGACUUCGCAGCACGUUUUCAUCGGCCAUUUUGAUAAGGUGCAGCAUUGGACAAACAAUAGGAAAUGGCAUUGACAUCAGAGAGAUUAACCCUUCCAUUUUACUUGCUACAGUUCAGUUGAAAUGGAUUAUUCAAAAUAAUUGCUCACACUGGGCUACCUCAUUUCAUGUUUUCUUUACUCUCAUAGCUUAUUUUACCACAUUGUCAACAAAGACUAGGCUUCUUAACCAGGGACCUAAUAUAUUAUAUUAAAAUUAGGGGUCAUUAAUAAAUACGGAUAUUGCCUACCUUGCCAGCAUUUGUACAUUUGUGUCUUUCAUGGAAGAAAUGGUUUUCCAGGGAAGAACCGACUGCUGGCGAAGGUAAGCAGAAGUUUCCACAUAUGUUCUUUUAUUUUAACGAAAAUAUGGAUUGGUUAUUGGAUGCAUUGCUGCUCUUAGUGUAAAUCCUUUACUCCAUUGAAAAUGGAUAUUUACAUAAAUGUCAAUUGAAUUCAGUGAAUUAACCUACAAUGUACUGUUCCACAUACAUGGCCAUUCUCGUAGUAAAUAGCUAAAUGUACAAUAGCAUAGAGACAUGUUAUGCGUUGUUUUAAUUGCUGAAACACUGGGUUAAAUUGCCAAAAACUGACCUCCAUUAGCUCCUCUUCUUUGUCAUUGUCAAUUGAGACUUGACAGACAAGUACUUGUGAAUUCUCACAGGGGCUACUUUGACACCCAAAAAAAUUCACCCAAAGUCUCCCAUUAUACCAUUGCCUAAACCUCAACAACAUGCCUGUGAGACAAACAUAUAGCUGGACUUGGAACCUUCUUCAGUGAUAUCAGUUAUUUCUUCUUUCAUAAUCUUUCUGAAAAAAUUGCCCCUAAUGGAAUAAGACUGUUCUAAAUGUACAUGUCAAUGCUUAUCCUUGAUGACUGGAUUUUAUUUCCAUGAAUAUUUAUGAAGAUGAUUUUGUAGGUUGGCAAUUAAAGGAUUGUGAGCUUUCCCAAACCAUAUUUAGUUAGCUGCACCGACCAAAGAAUUUUGUUUGGGGGGAUUUAAAAUUUGUGAUACGUAUACUUGUAUUUAUUUGUUAUUUAUUCCAAUAAAUUAUUGAAUCAUUUUUUCAUA